AAGGGGACAUAACAGUAUCUAAGCAGACAGCACAGAGUGAGCACAGAUCAAGAAAAUAAUCCUAUAAGAUUGUGUAUAAGACUAUGGGUACGGAGUUAUUGAGGACAGACAAACUGGUUCUACAGACGCAACUGGAAACGCUGACGUUUCGCUUACGUGUAGAAACUUCGUAAGCGGAUAUGUAUUACUACCGGAUAGAUGGAUUUAUCAAGUGAGCAACGAAGGCUCCAUUGAAAAUGGCGAAAAUUGGAUGGGCCCGCUGUAUCUAUACUACGUUCGACGUGUUUCUCAGUAUACCUAUGUAUGCACAUAAGUAGUACGUAUCGUGAGAUAGGAUAUAGGAGCGUUACGUGCUCGCUGCUGUACAUCUAUAUGGGAUUUUUACCCUAUACAGGGUGGAUCGCUCGAAAGCGAACAACUGAAUAUAUCUUUUAGUUGUGAAGAUUCGAAAAAAUAUUAAAGACAUAAGUUUAAUGGUUUCGAACAGUGAACAUGAUCCUUAUCAAAUUUUUGUUCGAGCAUUUUUUCCCGAGUUAUGAAAAAUAGAUUUUUUCAAUUAAUAUUA